GAAAGAAACCAAGAAAGUGACAUUGGUAAACAUAGGCGCAGGGAGACUUGGAGACAGAAGCCCAGGGAUAAAGGGGCCCGGGUGAGGUGGAAUCUUAGUCGGAGACUAGGUAAGAAGCCAGGCAAAUCUGGUGGUGACCCCGCCAGGCCUACAUUCCAUCGACCUCCUGGGAACCUGUUGCAGAGAGAUUUGAGAGGGCAGAGAUUCCAGGGUCCCAGUGCUAUGGGCCCCCCCGAGGCCUAGGGGAAUAAACAGGAGACAGACGGUGACCAGGUUGCGGACCUCGACCACUCUGCCCUGUUAAUUACAUUCUACCAAUUGAUCACCUGAAAGAAAAUGCACAGGACUCAAAAGGAGGCGGCUGUCCUCUUGAAUCCAAACCAGGGGACUCGUGCUGGGCUUGCUCACCGCUGCUUCUCGCCAGAACGCGGCCAAGAGGAGGAGAUCAAAAGGCGGAGAGGACCCCGAAGAGGACUGGCGCCCUCUAGAGGAUGAGGAAGCUCAAUACCACCAUGAGAGAGAGGAAAUUGACCCUGUCCUUUGCCCGAAAAAAUGAGAAAGACACAACAGGAGAGGGUCAAGAAGGUGAGGCCAUGUCCUUCCUAUCUGGAGGAGGAGACAGCCUCUGUAUCACCCAGAGGCCCUGCCUCUCCUUAAGAACCUAGCCCAGGAACCAAAUGAAAAAGCAGCUGCCUGGCUGCAGAAAACGUAUCCAACAGAGCAUAGCAAG